GCAUGAUGCAGUGUGAAAAACUCCGGUGGUAUAAGAUGGACCCGCGUUGGAUUAGCUAGUUGGUGAGGUAACGGCCCACCAAGGCGACGAUCCAUAGCCGACCUGAGAGGGUGACCGGCCACAUUGGGACUGAGACACGGCCCAAACUCCUACGGGAGGCAGCAGUGGGGAAUAUUGCACAAUGGGCGAAAGCCUGAUGCAGCGACGCCGCGUGAGCGAAGAAGUAUUUCGGUAUGUAAAGCUCUAUCAGCAGGGAAGAUAAUGACGGUACCUGACUAAGAAGCACCGGCUAAAUACGUGCCAGCAGCCGCGGUAAUACGUAUGGUGCAAGCGUUAUCCGGAUUUACUGGGUGUAAAGGGAGCGCAGGCGGUGCGGCAAGUCUGAUGUGAAAGCCCGGGGCUCAACCCCGGUACUGCAUUGGAAACCGUCGUACUAGAGUGUCGGAGGGGUAAGCGGAAUUCCUAGUGUAGCGGUGAAAUGCGUAGAUAUUAGGAGGAACACCAGUGGCGAAGGCGGCUUACUGGACGAUAACUGACGCUGAGGCUCGAAAGCGUGGGGAGCAAACAGGAUUGGAUACCCUGGUAGCCCACGCCGUAAACGAUGAAUACUAGGUGUUGGGAAGCAUUGCUUCUCGGUG
rnacentral:rRNA from 1 species